rnacentral:rRNA from 1 species
GAGGAGCCUGCGUCCGAUUAGCUAGUUGGCGGGGUAAAGGCCCACCAAGGCGACGAUCGGUAGCUGGUCUGAGAGGACGACCAGCCACACUGGGACUGAGACACGGCCCAGACUCCUACGGGAGGCAGCAGUGGGGAAUUUUUCGCAAUGGGGGCAACCCUGACGAAGCAAUGCCGCGUGGAUGAAGAAGGCCUUCGGGUUGUAAAGUCCUUUCGUGGGGGACGAAAAGGUGGGUCCUAAUACGGUCUGCUGUUGACGUGAACCCAAGAAGAAGCACCGGCUAACUCCGUGCCAGCAGC